CAGUAGCGUAUAUUAAAGUUGUUGCAGCUAAAAAGCUCGUAGUUGGAUUUCUGGCUGACCGCGAUGGCCCGGCUCUUUACGGGGCUGAGUGCCGUUGCGCGUCUCGCCAUCCUUUCCGGGAUGUUGUUCUUGCUGGACGCCUACUCUUUACGGAGCAGGGCGACCGCUUGGGCGUUUUCGCAGACCGGAUCUUUUACUUUGAAAAAUUAGAGUGUUUCAAGCAGGCUUUUCCGCCAUUGAAUACAUUAGCAUGGAAUAAUAAGAUAGGAUAUUUUCUUAUUUUGUUGGUUUCUGAGAAAAUAUAAUGAUUGAUAGGGAUAGUUGGGGGUGCUAGUACUCAUUGGCCAGAGGUGAAAUUCUGUGAUUCAAUGAAGACUAACUACUGCGAAAGCAUUCACCAAGGAUGUCUUCUUU
rnacentral:rRNA from 1 species